rnacentral:rRNA from 1 species
UUUAUGGAGAGUUUGAUCCUGGCUCAGGAUGAACGCUGGCGGCGUGCCUAAUACAUGCAAGUCGAGCGAACGGACGAGAAGCUUGCUUCUCUGAUGUUAGCGGCGGACGGGUGAGUAACACGUGGAUAACCUACCUAUAAGACUGGGAUAACUUCGGGAAACCGGAGCUAAUACCGGAUAAUAUUUUGAACCGCAUGGUUCAAAAGUGAAAGACGGUCUUGCUGUCACUUAUAGAUGGAUCCGCGCUGCAUUAGCUAGUUGGUAAGGUAACGGCUUACCAAGGCAACGAUGCAUAGCCGACCUGAGAGGGUGAUCGGCCACACUGGAACUGAGACACGGUCCAGACUCCUACGGGAGGCAGCAGUAGGGAAUCUUCCGCAAUGGGCGAAAGCCUGACGGAGCAACGCCGCGUGAGUGAUGAAGGUCUUCGGAUCGUAAAACUCUGUUAUUAGGGAAGAACAUAUGUGUAAGUAACUGUGCACAUCUUGACGGUACCUAAUCAGAAAGCCACGGCUAACUACGUGCCAGCAGCCGCGGUAAUACGUAGGUGGCAAGCGUUAUCCGGAAUUAUUGGGCGUAAAGCGCGCGUAGGCGGUUUUUUAAGUCUGAUGUGAAAGCCCACGGCUCAACCGUGGAGGGUCAUUGGAAACUGGAAAACUUGAGUGCAGAAGAGGAAAGUGGAAUUCCAUGUGUAGCGGUGAAAUGCGCAGAGAUAUGGAGGAACACCAGUGGCGAAGGCGACUUUCUGGUCUGUAACUGACGCUGAUGUGCGAAAGCGUGGGGAUCAAACAGGAUUAGAUACCCUGGUAGUCCACGCCGUAAACGAUGAGUGCUAAGUGUUAGGGGGUUUCCGCCCCUUAGUGCUGCAGCUAACGCAUUAAGCACUCCGCCUGGGGAGUACGACCGCAAGGUUGAAACUCAAAGGAAUUGACGGGGACCCGCACAAGCGGUGGAGCAUGUGGUUUAAUUCGAAGCAACGCGAAGAAUCUUACCAAAUCUUGACAUCCUUUGACAACUCUAGAGAUAGAGCCUUCCCCUUCGGGGGACAAAGUGACAGGUGGUGCAUGGUUGUCGUCAGCUCGUGUCGUGAGAUGUUGGGUUAAGUCCCGCAACGAGCGCAACCCUUAAGCUUAGUUGCCAUCAUUAAGUUGGGCACUCUAAGUUGACUGCCGGUGACAAACCGGAGGAAGGUGGGGAUGACGUCAAAUCAUCAUGCCCCUUAUGAUUUGGGCUACACACGUGCUACAAUGGACAAUACAAAGGGCAGCGAAACCGCGAGGUCAAGCAAAUCCCAUAAAGUUGUUCUCAGUUCGGAUUGUAGUCUGCAACUCGACUACAUGAAGCUGGAAUCGCUAGUAAUCGUAGAUCAGCAUGCUACGGUGAAUACGUUCCCGGGUCUUGUACACACCGCCCGUCACACCACGAGAGUUUGUAACACCCGAAGCCGGUGGAGUAACCUUUUAGGAGCUAGCCGUCGAAGGUGGGACAAAUGAUUGGGGUGAAGUCGUAACAAGGUAGCCGUAUCGGAAGGUGCGGCUGGAUCACCUCCUUU